rnacentral:rRNA from 1 species
UAAGGAAUAUUGCGCAAUGGGCGAAAGCCUGACGCAGCGACGCCGCGUGGGGGAUGAAGGUCUUCGGAUUGUAAACCCCUUUCGGGAGGGAAGAUGGAGCGAGCGAUCGUUCGGACGGUACCUCCAGAAGCAGCCACGGCUAACUUCGUGCCAGCAGCCGCGGUAAUACGAAGGUGGCAAGCGUUGUUCGGAUUUACUGGGCGUACAGGGAGCGUAGGCGGUUCGGUAAGCCCUUUGUGAAAUCUCCAGGCUUAACCUGGAACAGUCGGAGGGGACUGCCGGGCUAGAGGACGGGAGAGGAGCGCGGAAUUCCCGGUGUAGCGGUGAAAUGCGUAGAGAUCGGGAGGAAGGCCGGUGGCGAAGGCGGCGCUCUGGAACGUUUCUGACGCUGAGGCUCGAAAGCGUGGGGAGCAAACA